CCUCAGCACUGCUCUCUGGGGUAGCUCUCAAGGGCCAGUUUCUGGAUUUCUCCACACUGCAAGCUACAGAGCUGGGGAAGUUGCCGGCUGGAGGAGUUCUCUAUCCUCCACCUUCCUUCCUCUACUCUCCGGCUUUCUGCCCCAGUCCUUUGCCCGACACAUCGUUGCUUCAGGUACGCCAGGAUCUGCCAUCCCCUUCGGAUUUUUAUUCUACCCCUCUGCAGCCUGGUGGCCAAAGUGGCUUUCUCCCUUCAGGGGCUCCUGCCCAGCAGAUGCUUCUACCCAUGGUAGACUCACAGCUGCCUGUGGUGAACUUUGGCUCCCUGCCGCCAGCACCACCUCCUGCCCCACCUCCCCUUUCUCUGUUACCUGUGGGCCCUGCUCUGCAGGCCGCCAGCCUGGCUGUGCGACCCCCACCUGCUCCUGCCACUCGGGUGCUGCCUUCACCUGCCAGGCCCUUCCCCGCUAGCUUGGGGCGAGCAGAGCUGCAUCCAGUGGAACUAAAGCCGUUCCAGGAUUAUCAAAAACUGAGCAGCAACCUUGGGGGACCUGGGUCAUCACGGACUCCCCCAACUGGAAGGUCCUUCUCUGGCCUCAAUUCCCGUCUCAAGGCCACGCCUUCCACCUACAGUGGAGUCUUCCGCACCCAGCGUGUUGACCUUUACCAGCAGGUGAAGGAGAAACCCCUGUGGCCCCAACUCUAAAUUCGAGUUGCCACCUGAUUCCUGUCCUUCCAUCCCAUCCCUGACCUCCCACUGUGACUCACUCUUUAACACAUGCCUGUUCCCUAGGCCUCCCCACCAGAUGCCCUGCGCUGGAUACCUAAGCCUUGGGAGCGGACAGGGCCACCACCUCGAGAAGGGCCCUCCCGACGGGCAGAGGAGCCUGGGUCCCGAGGGGACAAGGAGCCUGGGUUGCCCCCACCCCGCUGAGGGAGUUCCUCUUGCCCCCUACCCCCGGGGCUUGUAUAUAGAUUAUAAAUAUAUAAGGGGGAAAAGGGUGGGUGGGGAGGGGCUGUGGGGCUGGGGCCUCACUUCCCCUCCUCCCCCUUCCCCUGGUCCCCUGUCCCUGGGGCUGUUUGUUAAAAAAGAGUAAUAAAAGGAUUUAAAAAAAAA
rnacentral:sRNA from 1 species